UCAAAUGAAUUAAGGCGUACGGUGGAGACCUAGGCACUCAGAGACGAAGAAGGGCGCAGAUACCGGCGAUACGCUUCGGGGAGCUGGCAACAAGCUUUGAUCCGAAGAUUCCCGAAUAGGGCAACCUCAUAGAACUACCUAUAUAAUUCAUAGUUAGGUAAGAGGCAACCCAGUGAACUGAAACAUCUAAGUAGCUGGAGGAAAAGAAAGCAAACGCGAUUCCCGUAGUAGCGGCGAGCGAACCGGGAACAGCCUAAACCUAUGUCGCAAGAUGUAGGGGUCGUGGGAGGACAACAUAAAAAUCGCUAUUUUUAAUACGAAGCAGCUGAAUCCUGCACCAUAGAUGGUGAAAGUCCAGUAGUAAAAAGAAAAUUUAGAUUUUUGUCUAAUCCCGAGUAGCAUGGGGCACGUGAAAUCCCGUGUGAAUCAGCGAGGACCACCUCGUAAGGCUAAAUACUCCUGAGUGACCGAUAGCGAAAUAGUACCACGAGGGAAAGGUGAAAAGAACCCCUGUUGGGGAGUGAAAUAGAACAUGAAACCGUAUGCUGACAAGCAGUGGGAGCAAGAAUGCUUGUGACCGCGUGCCUGUUGAAGAAUGAGCCGGCGACUUAUAGGGAGUGGCUGGGUUAAGGAGUAAAAUCCGGAGCCCAAGCGAAAGCGAGUCUGAAUAGGGCGCAAAUGGUCACUUCUUAUGGACCCGAACCCGGGUGAUCUAUUCAUGGCCAGGAUGAAGCUUGGGUAACACCAAGUGGAGGUCCGAACCGACCGAUGUUGAAAAAUCGGCGGAUGAGCUGUGAAUAGGGGAGAAAUUCCAAUCGAACUCGGAGCUAGCUGGAUCUCCCCGAAAUGCGUUGAGGCGCAGCGGUAACGAUGAACUGUCUUGGGGUAAAGCUACUGUUUCGAUGCGGGCUGCGAAAGCGGUACCAAGUCGUGGCAAACUCAGAAUACAAGACAUGUCUUCCGUAAACCAGUGAGACAGUGGGGGAUAAGCUUCAUUGUCAAGAGGGAAACAGCCCAGAUCACCAGCUAAGGCCCCUAAAUGGUCACUAAGUGGAAAAGGAUGUGAGAAUGCUGAAACAACCAGGAGGUUUGCUUAGAAGCAGCCACCCUUCAAAGAGUGCGUAAUAGCUCACUGGUAAAGCGUUCUUGCGCCGAUAAUGGCCGGGACUAAGUGACCUGCCGAAGCUGUGAUAUAAUUUAUUAUAUAAAUUAUAGGUAGGGGAGCGUUCCGCUCUCGGGUGAAGUUUUCACGUAAGUGGGGAUGGACGAAGCGGAAGUGAGAAUGUCGGCUUGAGUAACGAAAACAUUGGUGAGAAUCCAAUGCCCCGAAAACCUAAGGGUUCCUCCACUAGGUUCGUCCAUGGGGGGUUAGUCAGGACCUAAGACUAGGCCAAACGGCGUCGUCGAUGGAAAACAGGUUAAUAUUCCUGUACGAGUUAAAUUAUGAUCUGAGGGACGAAGGAGGCUAAGCUAGAACUGUUUUUGGAUUGCAGUGGAAGCGUUUAGACGUUGAGAGAUAGAAAAAAAGCUAUCUUGAGUGGAGACGUGAUCCCUAUUUGAUGGUUCGCCGUCGAGUAGCUAGUGAUGUCAUACUUCCAAGAAAAGCUCAUACAUCUUUAUAAUUUAAUGACCUGUACCUGAAACCGACACAGGUAGGUUGGUAGAGAAUACCAAGGGGCGCGAGAGAACUCUCUCUAAGGAACUCGGCAAACUGGCCCCGUAACUUCGGAAGAAGGGGCACCCAUCCGUAACAAGGUGGGUCGCAGUGACCAGGCCCAGGCGACUGUUUACCAAAAACACAGGUCUCCGCAAAGUCGUAAGACAAUAUAUGGGGGCUGACGCCUGCCCAGUGCCGGAAGGUUAAGGAAGUUGGUUAUUUCGUAAGAAAAAAGCUGACGACCGAAGCCCCGGUGAACGGCGGUCGUAACUAUAACGAUCCUAAGGUAGCGAAAUUCAUUGUCGAGUAAGUUUCGACCUGCACGAAAGGCGUAACGAUCUGGGCGCUGUCUCGGAGAGAGGCUCGGUGAAAUAGACUUGUCCCGUGAAGAUGCGGACUACCUACACCUGGACAGAAAGACCCUAUGAAGCUUGACUGUAUCUUGGAAUUGGGUUUGGGCUUUUCUUGCGCAGCCUAGGUGGGAGGCUAUGAAGAUUACCUUCCGGGGUAAUUAGAGCCGUCAUUGAGAGACCACUCUGGAAGAGCUAGAAUCCUAAUGGGGAUCCUUGAAUCAGGACCCUUGACAGUUUCAGGUGGGCAGUUUAUUUGGGGCGAAUGCCUCCUAAAAGGUAACGGAGGCGUGCAAAGGUUCCCUCAGUCUGGACGGAAAUCAGACAUUGAGUGUAAAGGCAAAAGGGAGCUUGACUGCAAGACCUACAAGUCGAGCAGGGGCGAAAGCCGGCCUUAGUGAUCCGACGGUGCCGCGUGGAAGGGCCGUCGCUCAACGGAUAAAAGUUACUCUAGGGAUAACAGGCUGAUCUUCCCCAAGAGUUCACAUCGACGGGAAGGUUUGGCACCUCGAUGUCGGCUCAUCACAUCCUCGGUCUGUAGUAGGUCCGAAGGGUUGGGCUGUUCGCCCAUUAAAGUGGUACGUGAGCUGGGUUCAAAACGUCGUGAGACAGUUUGGUCCAUAUCCGGUGUAGGCGUUAGAGCAUUGAGAGUAGCCUUUCAUAGUACGAGAGGACCUGAAAGGACAUGCCAAUUGUGUACCAGUUCUCAUUCCAAUGGGAAACGCUGGGUAGCUACGCAUGGAUAGAUAACUGCUGAAAGCAUCUAAGUAGGAAGCUAAACUCAAGAUGAGUGCUCUCUAAGGCCGCGGCUAGACAAGCCGUUAUAUAGGUAUCAGGUGUACAGUCAGCAAUGGCUUUAGCCGAGAUAUACUAAAGGCCGUUUGAUUUUGACCUU
rnacentral:rRNA from 15 species